GACGAACGCUGGCGGCGUGCUUAACACAUGCAAGUCGAACGGAAAGGCCCUGCUUUUGUGGGGUGCUCGAGUGGCGAACGGGUGAGUAACACGUGAGUAACCUGCCCUUGACUUUGGGAUAACUUCAGGAAACUGGGGCUAAUACCGGAUAGGAGCUCCUGCUGCAUGGUGGGGGUUGGAAAGUCUCGGCUGUUGGGGAUGGACUCGCGGCUUAUCAGCUUGUUGGUGGGGUAGUGGCUUACCAAGGCUUUGACGGGUAGCCGGCCUGAGAGGGUGACCGGCCACAUUGGGACUGAGAUACGGCCCAGACUCCUACGGGAGGCAGCAGUGGGGAAUAUUGCACAAUGGGCGGAAGCCUGAUGCAGCAACGCCGCGUGCGGGAUGACGGCCUUCGGGUUGUAAACCGCUUUCGCCUGUGACGAAGCGUGAGUGACGGUAAUGGGUAAAGAAGCACCGGCUAACUACGUG
rnacentral:rRNA from 1 species